rnacentral:misc_RNA from 1 species
AACAAGGCGUACCUGCGGACCUGCGGAAGGAUCAUUACAACAAGGCCACGGGCCCCCGAAGCUCCGGCGGAAGGGGCACCGGCCUGACUUAUAUACCCACCCUUUGCCUAUGUGUACCUCUAUCGCUUCCUCGGCGGGUUCGCCCGCCGCCAGGAACCCACGCCAACCUUUGCAUUAUACAUCAACACUUCUGAUACCCACCAAAACUAUUACAACUUUUAACAACGGAUCUCAGAUCGG